rnacentral:rRNA from 1 species
GAUGAACGCUGACAGAAUGCUUAACACAUGCAAGUCUACUUGAACUUCGGUUUGGGUGGCGGACGGGUGAGUAACGCGUAAAGAACUUGCCUCACAGUUAGGGACAACAUUUGGAAACGAAUGCUAAUACCUGAUAUUAUGAUUUUAGGGCAUCCUAAAAUUAUGAAAGCUAUAUGCGCUGUGAGAGAGCUUUGCGUCCCAUUAGCUAGUUGGAGAGGUAACGGCUCACCAAGGCGAUGAUGGGUAGCCGGCCUGAGAGGGUGAACGGCCACAAGGGGACUGGGACACGGCCCUUACUCCUACGGGAGGCAGCAGUGGGGAAUAUUGGACAAUGGACCAAAAGUCUGAUCCAGCAAUUCUGUGUGCACGAUGACGUUUUUCGGAAUGUAAAGUGCUUUCAGUUGGGAAGAAAAAAAUGACGGUACCAACAGAAGAAGUGACGGCUAAAUACGUG